UGGGACUUGAUUCCGGGUCUCCAGGAUCACACCCUGGACUGAAGGCGACGCUAAACCGCUGAGCCAGCAGGGCUACCCUAAUUUCUCAUUCUUUUUUUCAGUAUCCUUUCAUUAAAAUUCCAUCAAAAAUAUGCCUACUGUGUUUCCUGGAUGAAACAUGGAAGCAUCUUCUGGCCUGAAGUUUGUUUAAAAACAAUCCUUAACAGAAGAUUUGAAAACUCAAUUUCAAAAGUAAUUUUUUCCCAGUAUGCUGUCUAUGUUCACAUUUCUAACUUUGUGCAGAAUGGGCUAGACUUAUUAAGGGAGUGAGCAACCUCGAAAACUAAAACCCUAGGUGGCAUCUUUCGGCUUCAGGAUGCUGCUAACAGCUCAAAAGAGUUUCCCAAAAAUAGUAUGUUUAUCUGAUUAAAUUUGGCUCAUUACCUAUAUGGAUAAACUCUUAAUUUACCAGUCCCCUCUCUGCUCUCUUUUUACCUAAGUAUGAAUCUAGGGUUAACUGGAAGUUUUUAUAUUAUUGUUUUUGGUCUUUAAUUUUUAUCUUUAAAAAAGGAGUAUCAGUUCUGUCCUACCCCCAUACUGGCUUAUUUCCCUUGUAAACUUACUUAGCUAAUGCAAUACAUAGUAACUUGGUUUUGUGUCGGUUACAGUGACCUUAAAGUGAAUUUGUUCCCUUUAGGGAAGUGUACGUCUGUCCUGCAGCAUCCCAUGGUCUCUGUGGUUAUAGACCACAAUGAGUUUAAAACUCCCAUCAUCUGUGUUAUUGUAUCACAUGGAUGAUUUUUCUAGAUCUAGUUUUCCUUAUUGUUUUUUGUUCACGUCUAAUACUAAACAAGUAUGUACAUCUAGUCUUUUGGCUUUUGAUGACUUCUAGCAAUGUAAUAAAUAUCUACAGCUUCUGAGGAAUAAAAAUCAAAGAGUUGAUUCACAGUAAAUUCUACACCUGAAACUAAUAUUACACUGUAUGUUAACUAACUGGAAUUUAAACGAAAAUCUGGAGGAAAAAAAAAGUUGAUUCAGAAAUAGCCCUAUGACCACUAAAAAUCACUUUCUUUUUCUGAAUUCAGUUUCCUUUUCCUAUAAAGUGAAGGGGAUUAGACCAAGUGAUUGGAAAGAACUUUCCACUGCCUACUUUCUGUGAUUGGGCAAAUGUUCCCCGGGUGUAUAUUGGCUUCAAGGGCUAUGCCAUUUUUCUGGGAUUUAGGAGGCCUUAGGAAACACUGACUGUGCCAGCUGGCUCCCAGUUGUCCUUCAGCUGUCCCAGGACCCACCUUUCUAAACGAAAUAUGGACAGUGGACGCUUGAGGAGAGAGAACCUUCUGCAAAUGGCCUAUUAGCAUGUUACUGUUGGAGCACAUUCAUCAGUUCUUCCUGAGAUGGGCAAACACUGUGAAGGCAAAGAGAGAGAGAGAGAGCGGCAGAGACACAGGCAGAGGGAGAAGCAGGCUCC